rnacentral:lncRNA from 1 species
UGAAAUGUCGUAUGGGGCUAUGGGCUGAGAGGCUGACCAUGUUUUACCAGAGUCAAUUUCUAUUUAUUUUUAGUUUUUUUUUUGGUUACGUAAUACGUCAUUCAACUUGUAACAGUUUUCGUUCCUUCUGUUUUAACCCUUUUAUAAAUAAAAAAAAAACAAUGAAAACGAAUUUAACUAGAAAAAUUCGUGGAAAUCAAUCUUUUUGGAAUAGUAUGAUAAUAAUUGGAAAAAAUAAUUUUUUCUUGUUUUAUCUUUUGAGUAGUAGUAUAAUUAAGAUAUGUUACUCCAAUUCUUCUAGAUAAUGAAUGGAACACUUCUAACAAAUAAAAAAAAAAGAACAAGAAAUGUAAA